CACUGAGCUGUCACUUUGACGCAGUGCUAGUCUAGUACCCCAUCGAAAAACGAAGUGUUCUGUGAAUUCCAUAGCAUAAUCACACAAAAUAUAUAUAAAAAAAAUAAAGAAAAUACGACAUAAGUAGCAAGUGUGAAAAGCAAACAUGAAACGAUGGAAAAUAACGCAACAGCAGCUAGUUAAGAAAUUCUAAUAAUCUAAGAAUUUCAACGCCAAAAGUGAAACUACAAAUUUGUGCAACACAUGAAAAUUAGAGUUCUGGCCAGCGAGCAUUUUAGAAGUGCCUACACAUAGGUUUGGACACCAAAGCGCAGAUAUCAUCACCACCAAACAAUGCGCAUGUGAGUUCAGCCGAAGUGAUUGUGAUUGCUGCACGAAACGGGUGUAGCAAAAAUACAUAUGUACAUAUUAAAGUAAUCGAAAAUUACAUGGAAAAUAAAUGAGUAUGCAAAUUUAACUUUAACAACAAAAUGCCACAAAAUAUGACAGUUGUUCUUCAAUAAAAGUGAAAUAGUUGCCAAAAAAUCCCGUAUAAAGUCAGAUGUAGAUAUUUGUAAACCACCAACAACAACAACAACAGCAAAUGUGUCUAAGUGAACACGUUACGGUGACUCGCAAAAAUACAAAACAAAAAUA